rnacentral:tRNA from 1 species
GCACCAUAGCCAAGCGGUAAGGCACCGGACUUUGAUUCCGUUAGCGUGGGUUCGAAUCCCACUGAGGUAGUUUGUCUUA